UGCAGUGAAAUGUCUAUGUCUAGUGAAGCAUGCGGGAGCAAUAUGUCCAAUUUUAUUGCAAUAAUACAAAUGACAUUCGAAUUGUGCAUUCUUCUAGGAUGAUAAUAAUUUGGGGGUCUAAAAUUAUUCACUCUAUUUUUAGGAACAUAGUUUGAUGUAGUUUUCGAAAAUCUUGUCUAGGUGGUCUAUACAUGCCAACGUUUCUUCUA
rnacentral:lncRNA from 1 species